UACGAAGGGGACUAGCGUUGUUCGGAAUCACUGGGCGUAAAGCGCACGUAGGCGGAUUCGUAAGUCAGGGGUGAAAUCCUGGAGCUCAACUCCAGAACUGCCUUUGAUACUGAAGAUCUUGAGUUCGGGAGAGGUGAGUGGAACUGCGAGUGUAGAGGUGAAAUUCGUAGAUAUUCGCAAGAACACCAGUGGCGAAGGCGGCUCACUGGCCCGAUACUGACGCUGAGGCACGGAAAGCGUGGGGAGCAAACAGG
rnacentral:rRNA from 1 species